rnacentral:rRNA from 1 species
UCCUACGGGACGCAGCAGUGGGGGAUAUUGCACAAUGGGGGGAACCCUGAUGCAGCGACGCCGCGUGAACGAAGAAAUAUUUCGGUAUGUAAAGUUCUAUCAGCAGGGAAGAAAAUGACAGUACCUGACCAAGAAGCCCCGGCUAACUACGUGCCAGCAGCCGCGGUAAUACGUAGGGGGCGAGCGUUAUCCGGAUUUACUGGGUGUAAAGGGGGCGCAGACGGCGAUGCAAGCCAGGAGUGAAAGCCCGGGGCCCAACCCCGGGGCUGCUCUUGGAACUGCGUGGCUGGAGUGCAGGAGGGGCG